rnacentral:rRNA from 1 species
GUGAGGAAUAUUGCGCAAUGGAGGCAACUCUGACGCAGCCAUGCCGCGUGCAGGAAGAAGGCGCUACGCGUUGUAAACUGCUUUUAACCGGGAAGAAACCCCAGGACGUGUCCUGGGUUGACGGUACCGGAGGAAUAAGCACCGGCUAACUUCGUGCCAGCAGCCGCGGUAAUACGAAGGGUGCAAGCGUUAUCCGGAUUCAUUGGGUUUAAAGGGUGCGUAGGCGGAGCGUUAAGUCAGUGGUGAAAUCCUGCAGCUUAACUGUAGACUUGCCAUUGAUACUGGCGCUCUUGAGUGAGCUUGAAGUGGGCGGAAUGUGCCGUGUAGCGGUGAAAUGCUUAGAUAUGGCACAGAACACCAAUUGCGAAGGCAGCUCACUAAGGCGAUACUGACGCUGAGGCACGAAAGCGUGGGGAUCGAACAGGAUUAGAUACCCUAGUAGUCC